rnacentral:rRNA from 1 species
GACGAACGCUGGCGGCGUGCUUAACACAUGCCAGUCGAACGGAAAGGCCCCUUUGGGGGUACUCGAGUGGCGAACGGGUGAGUAACACGUGAGUAACCUGCCCUUGACUUCGGGAUAACUUCAGGAAACUGGGGCUAAUACCGGAUAGGAAUCCUUGCUGCAUGGUGGGGGUUGGAAAGCUUCGGCGGUUUUGGAUGGACUCGCGGCUUAUCAGCUUGUUGGUGGGGGAGUGGCUUACCAAGGCUUUGACGGGUAGCCGGCCUGAGAGGGCGACCGGCCACAUUGGGACUGAGAUACGGCCCAGACGCCUACGGGAGGCAGCAGUGGGGAAUAUUGCACAAUGGGCGGAAGCCUGAUGCAGCAACGCCGCGGGCGGGAUGACGGCCUUCGGGUUGUAAACCGCGUUCAGCAGGGGCGAAGCUUGUGGUGACGGUACCUGCAGAAGAAGCACCGGCUAACUACGUG